CUGAGUGAACAGGGGAUUAUCAUGUCUGUCCAGCUGAGUGAACAAGGGAUUAUCAUGUCUAGUCCAGUCUGCAUAGAAGUACAGUGUUCUCCUCCAAGUCUGGAGAAAGGGUACAAGACCCUCUUCACGGAUGACUGCCUCCAGUUCCUGCAUGAUCUCAUCACUACAUUUGACCAGAGGGUGGAUCAGAUUCUGCAAAUGCGAGUAUUCCGAAAAGUUAAUCUAGACCUCACAGGGGUGCUGCCAAGCUUCUCUAAAGACCCUAGCAGUGUUAGAAGUGACACCACCUGGAGAGUUCUACCAGUCCCAGAAAGGCUGCAGAGAAGGCAUGUUGACAUUGGUGAUCUGGCUCCAUGUGACACUGAACGCUUGCUGAGAGCUCUAAAGUCACCAGCUCAAGGCAUCCAGGUAGACUUUGAUGACGGGAACUGUCCUACAUUCUACAACCAGAUAAAGGGCAUUCAUAAUGUGUACAAGGCUGUUCACAAUAUGUUUUCAGAUGUACCACCCAUAUCUCAAGCCCCAGUGUUGAUGCUUCGUCCUCGGGCCUGGAAUAUGAUAGAGAGCAACAUGAUGGUGGAGGGGAAGCAGGCUCCAGGCCCACUCUUCGAUUUUGGACUGCUCAUGUUUCAUUGUGGGAAAACGCUGUUGGACAACAAGAGUGGCCCUUUUUUCUACUUGUCAAAAGUGGAGAGCUACAUGGAAGCCAGAUUAUGGAAUGAUAUAUUUACAUGGGCUGAACAGAAGCUGGUGAUUCCUUUGGGUAGCAUCAAAGCCACAGUCCUGAUUGAAAACAUCUUGGCUUCAUUUGAAAUGGAGGAAAUCCUCUAUGAGCUCCGGGAUCACUCAGCAGGUCUCAACUGUGGAAUCUGGGACUACUCUGCAUCCAUUGUCAACAAGUUUGGUAACAAUCCAGCUUUCCUGCUGCCAGACAGAAGUAAAUAUGUCAAUAUGCAGAAGCAUUUCCUGCGUAGCUACAUGGACCUGUUGGUGCAGACUAGUCACCGCAGGGGGGCACUGGCCACAGGAGGCAUGGUUGCCCAAUUGCUGCCCCAGGACCCUUACAGUGAGGCCUACAAGACAGUAAUAGACAUGGUCACCAGACAGAAGAUGCAAGAGAUCCAGGCCGGUGUGGACGGUUUCAUUGUGUACGACUUGAAUCUGAUCGAACCCAUGCAGAAGCUCUUCAAGCUUCACACCCUUGGUGACAACCAGCUUCAUCAGCUUCGUCCAGACGUCAGGGUCACUGCUGAUGACCUGCUUUCCAUUCCAUCGGGAGGAGUCACGCUGGAUGGAUUGAAAUACAACAUUGCAGUUGGAGUUCUCUUUAUUCAGGCCUGGCUGUCUGGUAAAGGGCAUUUUAUAUAUCAAGGAAAAGUGGAAGACUCAGCUACUGCAGAGAUUUCAAGAUCUCAGGUUAGUGUUACAUCAAUCAUCUUGGAAAAAUCAGUCCCACAUGCUAGUAGUGCAUCACUUGCUGAGCUCUCAUCCAAACUGACGAAAUAGGGCCAACCUCAAAUUAAGUUUAACUUAAGGUCUUCACAGUCCUCAUUUAUUUCGGAUCGAUCAGCAAAGCGGACAGCACACAUCGCUGAUUGAAGACCAUUUUUUAGCGAUGUGCGGCCUAUAAUGGACAUAAUGAAGUUCCAUAUUAUGAUGGAUACAUUAACUUUGUCGGUCAGUCUGAGUAAGGAUGAAUAUAGUAGCUUCAAGUUCUUUCAUGCACAACACCUUCAAAUGUAUAUUUUCACUUUCACAUAUUUUCAUUAUUGAGCUGGAGCAGUGUCAUGGGUUUUUGCCAUAAUAAACUGGCAUGGCGCAAUGUCACAGUUUAAAUGAGAGCCAUGCCAUCAGAAAAAAACAAUAUUUUUAAAGAUGAGAGCUCACCUGAUCAAAUGUAUUAAAAUGAAGUGGAAACAUCAAAACAACCAGGUAACACAUGACGCAUCAUGGGGGUGGACUUGAACAUGGCAGUUUCCGCCGUUAUUUGCGGAAAAAUCCAGAAAGAAACAUCAUAAUGACUGAAGUUCGCUAUCCCGCUGGACAUAUGAAGAGGCAGACUAUGUGAGUACGACUUGGAUUGGUAACAUUAACCCCUCUGUUUCACUAUCACUUCUUGAUUGGCUCUGCCACAGUUUCAAAAUAUUCUGGUGGAAUCCCUGGUGUGAGUUUAUUUCAUAUACUGAAAGUGAAGAUUGCUCUAACAUGAGAUUAGAUUUGAUUCGACCUCCAUUAUUGGUCCCACAGGGUGGAAAUUCAACAUGUCACAGCAACCAAUGACAACAAAGACACUGCAAGACAUUAAAGGUUUGGCAGUGGAUUCGUCACCGAACUCAGCUGGAGGGUGAGAGCAAGAUUGUGAGCAGGCAGCUGGUUACAGAGCUUGCCCAGCAAGUGAUGAUGGAACUCCUCCCACUGCAUGGAUCAGACAG